rnacentral:rRNA from 1 species
GACGAACGCUGGCGGCGUGCUUAACACAUGCAAGUCGAACGAAGAGCGAUGGAAGCUUGCUUCUAUCAAUCUUAGUGGCGAGCGGGUGAGUAACGCGUAAUCAACCUGCCCUUCAGAGGGGACAACAGUUGGAAACGACUGCUAAUACCGCAUACGAUCUAAACUCGGCAUCGAGGAUAGAUGAAAGGUGGCCUCUACAUGUAAGCUAUCACUGAAGGAGGGGAUUGCGUCUGAUUAGCUAGUUGGAGGGGUAACGGCCCACCAAGGCGAUGAUCAGUAGCCGGUCUGAGAGGAUGAACGGCCACAUUGGGACUGAGACACGGCCCAGACUCCUACGGGAGGCAGCAGUGGGGAAUCUUCCGCAAUGGACGAAAGUCUGACGGAGCAACGCCGCGUGAGUGAUGACGGCCUUCGGGUUGUAAAGCUCUGUUAAUCGGGACGAAAGGCCUUCUUGCAAAUAGUGAGAAGGAUUGACGGUACCGGAAUAGAAAGCCACGGCUAACUACGUG